CCUGGUUCUCCUGGCCAACACGGUCAAUUUCUUUCUGUCUAUCUGGUCACUUCCUCAUGCUCUGGGAACUGUUUGCAGUGAUCUGUGCCAUGCUCUACAUGUGAACAAAGUUGCAGAGACCUGGACUGGAAGGGACUCCUAUCCUCAGAAGAGUUGAUUGUUUCAGGCAGCCGCCUCCCUCCAGAUGGGGAACCAAAACACAGCAUCAUACCAAACACUCUGAAGAAAACAGUUCCAUCCCAGCUGAAACAAAGAAACAAGACAUGUUCCUCAGACAGCCAGGGCAGAAGGAAGAUCUCUUCCAACCACAGCAGUUACUCUCAGCACUGGAAGCAAUGCGAUUUUCUGCACAACGGCCUCCUUCAUCUUUUUACCAUUCACUCUGGAUUUACAAGAUAACCUGGAAAACCUGUACCGCUACUGUGUGUUCCUGAAUGGCAAAUGCUGUCUACUUCAGGAUACAGAUGUCUCUGUGUUAUGGAGAUCAUCACUGAAGAAAUUGUCUCAUUAGCUUGCUUUGAAAAAUGCUUACUUUCAUUCUUCACUCAUUGUCUCCUGUCAACAUACACACUGCAAAGACCUUAUGGUUUAACACAGCUA
rnacentral:lncRNA from 1 species